rnacentral:rRNA from 1 species
GAUAAACGCUAGCGGCAGGCUUAACACAUGCAAGUCGAGGGGCAGCAUAGAUUGUAGCAAUACAAUUGGUGGCGACCGGCGCACGGGUGCGUAACGCGUAUGCAACCUACCCGUCCCAGGGGGAUAAUCCGGAGAAAUCUGGUCUAAUACCCCAUAACAUAUGGAUCGGCAUCGGUUCAUGUUGAAAUUUGCGGAGGUGACGGAUGGGCAUGCGUAGCAUUAGCUUGUUGGUGAGGUAACGGCUCACCAAGGCGACGAUGCUUAGGGGGACUGAGAGGUUUUCCCCCCACACUGGUACUGAGACACGGACCAGACUCCUACGGGAGGCAGCAGUGAGGAAUAUUUGUCAAUGGGCGCAAGCCUGAACCAGCCAUGCCGCGUGCAGGAUGACGGCUCUAUGAGUUGUAAACUGCUUUUGUACGAGGGUAAAGUGGGUUACGUGUAACCUUUUGAAAGUAUCGUACGAAUAAGGAUCGGCUAACUCCGUGCCAGGCGCCGCCGUAA